UUAAGACCUCUUGCCUUGCAAGCUGUAAUGAAGUGUGAACAUGGAAGGUGCAACAAUUGAGGAACAUUGCAGGUGCACGAAACUUCGUUCAGAUCCACUCUGUAGUGUCGGCCUCCAUGACUCUCACCCCCAAUGUUAGUCGUACCGUAACUUCUUAUAGAAUACACCAUCCUUUCUGGCCCGUACGGUUCUGCUAAGUGGUGCACGGAUCUAAGCU
rnacentral:lncRNA from 1 species